GGCAAAUCCUGAAAGGCCGUUACAAUAGAUAUUUCAAAAACACGACUGAAGAUGAGCCGUCUCCUCAAUUUUUGAAAAAGCCAUCAAGUAGUUUUUUAUGAUGCUAAGAGGACAAUUACAUGGAGCAAUUUCAACCCGGGCUUAGUUUCAGCCUGUUUGUCGUGCUGAAAUUUCAGCAAGGUUCUGUUACAAACAGAAUGUAAAAUAAAUAAAUAUUAAUACAAUAUAAUAUAGAUGAAAUUAUACGUGAUAUAAUUUAGAUAUUUAUAUAAUAUAUGUAUUUAUAUUUACAAUAUUUAACACCGGAUCCAAAGCAAAGUACAUACUUUUGAAGCGUUA